CAAGGUCUGAGCUCCAGGUCGCUGGUCUCCAGUCAGCAGGUGUCAGGACACUCCUCCACAGACAGCGACGGGAAGAAGUAGGGCCAUGUGACCACGUCUCACAUGAGGAACGGCAGAUUUAUCAGACAUCAAUUCCAUGGUGUUGAAUAAGCUUCGCCUCGCUGAGAGGCAGAGAACUCAAAUAAAAAAGAAACCUCUUUCAUUUCUUACUAAUGACAACCACCUGUUUUAUAACACGUCACGGAGGAACGGACGGACGGGACGGCGGACGGACAGAAAGCAGGAGGAACUCUGUACAGAUCCAGAUCACGGACUUCAGAAGCUCUCAGUUUUGCAGGAUUGUGACAGAAAGCACUCAGCGGAGCCGCUCUGUGGUGUCGGGUUUAUUAAAUGCACAUGUAUCGUAGUGUAAAAUGAUAUGACUGAAUGUACUGACGAGGACGUACUCUACCCCAAUAGUGUUGAUGGUUUUUUAAUCCUGUUGGGAAGCAGCAUUAGGAAGCUACAAAGUCUAUUAUUCUCCUUAUUAUUCUCCUGAUUAUUGAAGUGCUCCUCCUCCCUCCAUAGUGCUGACGCUACAUUUGUAUUACUAACCUGUACUUGAGCGUAA